rnacentral:pre_miRNA from 1 species
CUCCAAGGAACAUUCAACGCUGUCGGUGAGUUUGGGAUGUGGAAAAAACCACCGACCGUUGACUGUACCGUGGGG